UACGGAGGGUGCAAGCGUUAUCCGGAUUCACUGGGGUUAAAGGGUGCGUAGGCGGCUUGGUAAGUCCGUGGUGAAAUCUCCAAGCUUAACUUGGAAACUGCCGCGGAUACUAUCAAUCUUGAAUAUCGUGGAGGUAAGCGGAAUAUGUCAUGUAGCGGUGAAAUGCUUAGAUAUGACAUAGAACACCAAUUGCGUAGGCAGCUGACUACACGAUCAUUGACGCUGAGGCACGAAAGCGUGGGGAGCAAACAGG
rnacentral:rRNA from 1 species